ACUACACAUCCUUAUGUAUUCACAGCCUUUUAAGUCAUUUAUAUUUCGAUAAAAGUGUUUAUGCAAAUCUCGUGAAACGUAAUCGUAAAGCGGGCAGAAGCCAAUGUAGAUGCCUUAAAGCGCAUUACAAGCACCAUCCGUCGGUGGGCCGGGAAAAAUCCGGGGGAAAGCCCGACGAGCGGAGAGAGCGGAGAAAAGUGCGGGAAAGGAAUGGCAUCCGAGUUGUAAAAAUUGAAAUAAAUGUAUGCUGGGACCCACACCGACAUAUUGUAUGCAAAGCGUGGAUGCGUGCGUGUGUGUAUCUAUGGCAUAAGUUAUGCCACGCUGGUGGCCAAAUGGACAGAGGGUGGCACUCCCAUCCGCCGCCUCUCUGACCUCAGGCCCACGGGCCACCACAAUAUAGCCAGAAAUUCUUGCAAAUAGAAAAUUGAGUUAGCGGCUCCCGCACCACGAAAACAACAAAAACAAAUGCGUGAGGUGGCUGAGGUGCGUUGAAUUUGUGGAAAUUGCCUUUUUACGAGCGUAUUAGCAUGCGUGUGAGAGAUUUGCCUACUGAUUGCGGUUCCCUACGCCCCCUGCCCCAAAUCAGGAUCAGCCUGCUGUCACUUUAAGUCCCUGGCAGUCUGUCAGUGAGAGCCACCUGGGGGAAUUGGCGUGGCUUCUACCCGAAUACUUAUCCGAACAGGCGACGACACACAUGGCUCAAUAUACGGCAAGUGCUUGACAUGUUUUCGAUUUCUGGGAUAAACAAAGAGCACAACAAAUCACUAAAGUGAAAAGUGUUUGAAAAAAAUAAACAAGAUGGAGAUACGCAAAAAAAAAACAAGAAAAACAUGAAAAACAAUUUACAAUUGACAUGUAAAUAAGCGGGAGUUGCUUAGCAACACAUCUGGAAUUUAAAGGUGGUUCCUCUACUCUAAGUCAUUCUAGAAUGCUAAUUGUGUAUUAAACUAUCUACGUAUGUGAUAAAA